rnacentral:lncRNA from 1 species
AGGAGAACGAAAAGGGAACAAAACCGGAGAUAGAAAGAAGGCACAACAAACCCUGGAGGCUAACCCAGAGAAUUUAGAGCAACCCUAAAAGAAACCCUGAAGGAAACUCAUCUGCACCAAGGUUAUAUCCGCCCAACCCAAUCCGACUUGCCAAUUCAGGGUUGUAAUUCAAUUGCAAACAGGUUUGCAUUACUAUUAUCGCUUUAUGUUCUUAAUUUGC